rfam:Schistosoma curassoni strain Dakar, Senegal genome assembly, scaffold: SCTD_scaffold0001550
AUCCAACUGACGAGUCCCAAAUAGGACGAACCGUGCGUCCUGGAU